CCCCCUUACCCCAACACCCACCCCCAAACGAAACCUAGCCAGUAGCCACUCUCUUCUCACACUCUCGCUCUCUGCACUCUCGAGGCCUGCGGCGAACCCACCUAGCGCUAGGGAGACCGUUCCUCUCACCACCUUGCAGCGCCGCCGAACUCUCCCCCCUAGCGCCUCCGAACCUUCCUCUCACUGCUCCCAGGACCUCCUCGCGGACAGAGCACAACGAAGCCCCAACCCCAGCCAGCAGUGAGCAGUCUAGCACCACCCUCGCACCCAGCAGUAGCAUAGCACCACCCACUCACCCAGCACAGCACCACGCCACCACCCAACCGCGUUUCUGGCCACCCACAACUUAGCACCUCCCACCCAGCCACCGAUUCAAGUCAGAUAUGGAGUCGGAGCCACCGAAUCAGAAAUUUGACAAGUAUGGAGCUUUUAGGAUCGUUGUCUCCUUUUGUUGCCAAUAUGACACUCUGACUAAUAUGAACAUAUGCAGGACAAUUCAUAACUGAAGGGUUUUUGAAGCUAAAUAUAAAGCCAUGGUAAAGG